UUACGGCCAUACCACGUCGAAACACCGAUAUUGAUCCGAUCACCGAAUUUAAACAACAUUGCGCCUGGUUAGUACCUAGAUGGACAACCGUUUGGGAAUACUAGCAGUUGUAA